rnacentral:rRNA from 1 species
UACGAAGGGGACUAGCGUUGUUCGGAAUCACUGGGCGUAAAGCGCACGUAGGCGGAUAUGUCAGUCAGGGGUGAAAUCCGGCAGCUCAACUGUCGAAUAGCUUCUGAUACUGGUCGUCUUGAGGGGGGUAGGGGCAUGUGGAACUUCCGGUGGAGCGGUGAAAUGCGUAGAUAUCGGAAGGAACGCCGGUGGCGAAAGCGACGUGCUGGACCCUUUCUGACGCUGAGGCGCGAAAGCCAGGGGAGCAAACGGG